rnacentral:rRNA from 1 species
UACGUAGGGUGCGAGCGUUGUCCGGAUUUAUUGGGGCGUAAAGGGCUCGUAGGCGGCCCAACUAAGUCAGACGUGAAAUCCCCUCGGCUUAACCGGGGAACUGCGUCUGAUACUGGAUGGCUUGAGUUCGGGAGAGGGAUGCCGGAAUUCCAGGUGAGCGGUGAAAUGCGUAGAGAUGUGGAGGAACACCAGUGGCCGAAGGCGACUCUUGGCCUG